GGAAAGGGCCCUUUGCUAUGAAGAUCUGUAUUACUUUUAACGAUCAAGUUAAUGUGAAAUCUGCCGUUGAACUAUUAACUCCGGUGCGUAUUGCAUGGAUAGUGAAUAUGUGGGGUGUUUUUUUUUUCCCCUAAAGAAAAGUAACUUCUUGGUGAUUUAUGAGGAGCUAAUUCUUCAGGCUGUGCUUUAUAGGAGACAAGCUUGCCUCACUGGAGUCCUGGUAACUCUGCUUAUCAUUUCGCCUUUUCAAAACAAAAACCCACCAAAAAAGAUGACCUGGAAUUCAUUUGCUUCGGUUGAACUUCAGAGAUCUUGAAUUCUGAGAAAUACAAAUGCGAAUGGACAGAAAGGCAGCAGCCUCGCCACCCAUUUUGCCUUCCUCACGGAGGUUCUCCGUUGCCUUCAUCUGUUACUUCGAGGACUGGGAAAUCUGAACGCUUUUGGGAUAGCUAAAAAUGCUGCAUUUCAUUUUAGGGAACAGGGCUAGGCUGCCCCGCCUCUUUCUGCACACAUAGCAGUGGAAUGCAUGCGGAAGAAAGAAGGCGCAGAGCAGACCUGAGGUCGAGAUCCAAAACACAAUUACUUGGAGGGAGAGCGCGCGCGCUGAAAUCAAUGGACAUCGUUUUUCAAAUGAUUGGUUAGCAUCCAAGUGCAACUAAGCUGUAAAGUCUCUACGAAUUUAAAAGCUGCAAGGCUUAAGCAUAUUUACUCAGAGGGUUCUUACCUCCUCGCGUUUCCAACCAGCGGGCAGAAUUGUUUCCAGAUUGUAGGUGUCUUUAAACCGCAUUUUCCGGUGCACCGGAGUGCUGUAAAUAAAGAACAAGCAAUAGCUAAAUAAGAGAACUAUAGGGGAUGAGCAUUAUUUUCGAAAGAAGACGUGGGUCAGCUGCUGAGUUGUUUUAGCAGAUCCUCGGUGGGUAUAUAAUCAUUAAAAGGACGCUGUUGA